rnacentral:misc_RNA from 1 species
GUAGGUGAACCUGCGGAAGGAUCAUUACAGAGAAAUUGCCCCUUGGGGUAGAUCUCCCACCCUUUGUUUAUAAUUACCUUUGUUGCUUUGGCAGGCCCGUCUUUUGACCACUGGCUUAGGCUGGCUGGUCUGCGCCUGCCAGAGGACCUCUAAACUCUUGAUUUUUGUGUUGUCUGAGUAAUAUAACAAAUAACUGAAAACUUUC